AAAUGUCGAAAUUAUUGAAUGCGUGCAACAACAAGGGAAUGCGUUCAUGAUACGGAAGUGUUCAGUCCCAACCAAAUUGAGGGUACAAACAAAAAAGACAGGAAAAAACACACAAAAAUAAAUACAAAAACAAAAAAACGAAAAGGCUAACAAAAAAUACAAACAAAACACAAAAACAAAAGUAAAUAGCAACAUAAAGCGAAACAAAAACAAAAUACACACCAAAUUAAACAAACCUCAAGGCGGAAGGACUUUCCUUUAUUUUGCAUGACACAACUCAUAUUUCACUGAGCCUACCACGUCCGCCCACCUCUACCACCACCCAUUCGUCUUCAUACGUUUUUUUUACAGUUGUGUUUUCCUUAGCGCAUUUAGUUCCCAUCGGUGGUUAGCAACGAGGCAAGUGUAUAAAUAAGAGCCACAACAUAAAACAACAAACGCCGCACACAGUCACGGAAAUGACAACGGGAAUAAGGAAAUAUUGUCACUGAGUCGCUGGUACGAAGUGUGCGUGUGAAUCUUGUAUUACUUUGUACAUAAGGGGAUUUCCAAAACUAACCAGACCCGGUUGUUACAGCUAAAAGAACUCUUUGUAUUCACCAAAUUGAUCCUCAAAAAUCGACACCGACCACAUUGCAACUUGUCAGACCAAUUUACGACGGUCCCCAUGGAAUGAGAAAAGUCACGUUAUAUCACGUCCAAUCACUCUUACAUUUCACUGAGCGACUUCCUUUCCGAAAAUUAGAACCGAAUCACCGACCUAUAUUGCGUAAAACAAGUGCGAAUUGAUUGAAGUGUCGGCGCCAGCUGUUUACUAGAAUGCCCUACACACAGUAGUAAUUUGCGCAUAUGAUAGUGACUAAGUACUUAUCGGAUCGUCUUUAGUCGUAUAUAAAGUAUUCAAUAUCGGUUUAGAUCGACCCCUAUUACAAGGGGUCUAAAAUCUUUCCAAAAAGCUUGGAAUGCACCGCAUGUACUCCGGCGGGGACAUUGGCACUCAGGUGGCAUAUUCUUUUACGCAUAAUUACAUUUACAUAUCAGCUCUGAGCAUAUGUGUAAUAAUCUAUUCACAUGCAUUUAAAUAAAUAUUAUACAUACCUACACACAUAUCAACAUAUGUAUAGGUAUAUGCUUUACUAAUGAAAUAAAUUAAUUGGAGUGAUU